AUUGAACGCUGGCGGCAGGCCUAACACAUGCAAGUCGAGCGGAUGAAGGGAGCUUGCUCCUGGAUUCAGCGGCGGACGGGUGAGUAAUGCCUAGGAAUCUGCCUGGUAGUGGGGGAUAACGUCCGGAAACGGGCGCUAAUACCGCAUACGUCCUGAGGGAGAAAGUGGGGGAUCUUCGGACCUCACGCUAUCAGAUGAGCCUAGGUCGGAUUAGCUAGUUGGUGGGGUAAAGGCCUACCAAGGCGACGAUCCGUAAAUGGUCUGAGAGGAUGAUCAGUCACACUGGAACUGAGACACGGCCCAGACUACUACGGGAGGCAGCAGUGGGGAAUAUUGGACAAUGGGCGAAAGCCUGAUCCAGCCAUGCCGCGUGUGUGAAGAAGGUCUUCGGAUUGUAAAGCACUUUAAGUUGGGAGGAAGGGCAGUAAGUUAAUACCUUGCUGUUUUGACGUUACCAACAGAAUAAGCACCGGCUAACUUCGUG
rnacentral:rRNA from 1 species